rnacentral:tRNA from 1 species
UCCCGUGUGGCUCGGUUGGUAGAGCAUGGUGUUUGCAACGCCAGGGUUGUGGGUUCGAUCUCCACGGGGG